GGUAAACUAUGGAUUGCGCUUC
rnacentral:miRNA from 1 species